UGUGCUUCGGUGAAUAUUUGACUGAAUGUCCUCAGCAGGUGAUUUUUAUGAACUAUUCAAGGAGGUCAGCAUCAUGAAGUUAUCUUACGUCUUAUGGAACAACUUCGGUAAUGUAAGUACAGAUACACAUUAUCAACUAUUGUAUCACAGAAUCACAGAAUCAUCUAGGUUGGAAGAGACCUCCAAGAUUACCUAGUCCAACCUCUGACCUAACACUAACAAGUCCUGCACUAAACCGUAUCAUGUAUUGAUGUAAUUCCACUGGAGUCAAUGGAGUUACCUACCUUAGAAAAGCGAGCCUUGGAGAGUGCUGUUGUGGAUGGCAAUGAGUGUGACUCAUCUGGCUGUAGAGCUGGAAAUGUAAUAUUAAAGAAAAUAAAUAACAAGACUGAAAAGAGCAUUAAAUGAGGAAAUGAGGCACGAAUGCGUGAAACAGAGGUUAGUCUACUGCAUGAUGAGCUGUUUGGCACUUUCAACGCACUUUCCAAAGCCUCUUCAUACCAGCUACUGGAAUAUUACUAAAUUUGGGAUCUUGACAGAUAGAAAGACUAAGAUCUGACAAUGUUUGUUAUUUGUCUUAUACAAACCAGUUUAUUUCCUGUACAUGAAGUAAGGCUGUCUCUCUCUGUACAUUUCCAUCACGGCUGCAUUCAUUAAAGGAAAUUAAAAGAAGGUGGAUACUGAAGUGAUGCUGCAGGAAACCAUCUUCCCAAAGAGCUGAACUUUCUGCUCCCUUGUUGCUCAGGGAGAACUCUGCUGACUCCUGUCACAACCCUGACUGGCAGCUUUUUCCCAGAGGUAACCAAACAGGCUCCACUCAGGAAAUUCCUGUAAUUGCAUUAUUUUUCAGGUGCUGAAAACAUUCAUUUUAUUGCCAAAGUUCUUGUGAAAGAAAAGACCGAGUAAUAUAGAAUAAUAGAGCACAGGAGAGAGGGAAUGAAUUUUAUGCUUAAAGUUAGUGCUAAAGUAUAACAAAAAAUUAAUUUUGUUCAGACAGUGAAUGGUAGUUAACUGCAUUGCAAUGCUCCCCACAAUGACUUAAAAUUGUAUUUGAUUCUUUAAUGGAGGGACAUGAUUUUCAUAAUGUACUACUGUUUCAUGAUGCUGCAUCAGCAAGUAAAACAGUAGGUCAUGGUUUGCAGAUGUCUUCUCAAACAUUGACAUUCUUUCACACUUGGUAUCACAUCAGAGAGUGAUAUUUCAAGAGAGUUAAAACCACUCAAUUUCCUACAGGUGAUCUCUUUCCAGAUAACUAAUUUAGAUGUGCUGAAAAUGUAAACCUACUGUUAAAUUUUCAUUCACAAGGAGGACAUUUUUAACACAAUGUGGGGAUAAUUAACGUGAUUGAGGUAAAGGAUGUUCUAUUUUUAUACUUUCUGCAAAAUUACCAUAUAUUAGAUUUUGUGAAAAUCUUUUAGACCAAUUUAAUUUCAGAAUAUCUAAUUAUUAACCCAGUUACCUCACUAUAUGUCUAAAAAUAACAUAAUUAUGCAUUCCUUAAGAUCACCAAAAUCCAUAUGCUAAAAGGCUAAGCACAAUAAAAUGUAAUAGGAAACAGAUUUCAGAGUAUAGUAUGUUGUACUGCGUAUAGGCUGUUGUAUGGCCAAAUUCCUAAAAAUAAAGGCUAUGAGCUCUGAUCUUGAAAUUCAGUUGUAUGUUAUUGUAUUGUUUUCCAAGUCUACUGUAAAUAAUUAAGAAUCUUAAAUAAGAGAGUUAGAAACUCUGUUUUUGGCAGCUUGAAGACCUCUGCUGCUUGAUGCAAGAUGACUAUUAAUAAAGAAUAACUUACUGAAAACGUGAGUUAUGCUGACAUAGUAUCAAACGUGGGCCGAAUAGGGUAAAAAGUAAUUAUUCUCAAGAAACACUGAGUAGUAGUUUGAUAUUCCAAUAAUCCUCUUCUCUAUGAGAGUGACGCAUCAUAAAUAUUUCAUCAAUCAUCAGAGAAAACUCAUUUUAGCUCUUCUCCUCUCUACCACUGCUUCUUAAAUUCAGGACCUGUGCCUCUUUGUAAUUGGCUUAGCAAGCAGCUCCUCCUCUUCUGCCCACCUUAUGUUUUGGCUUGAAUAUAGUAGUUUUGCACUUAGAGCAAAAUUAAGUAAAAGACUUACCAGUCUGUGGAAUAAUGAGAAUUUAGAUGCUCAAGUCUAAAACCACCGCUUCUUUAUUUGCUGACAUCACCUCCUGGAAGUGUGGUUCACAGCAAAUCUGAAAGGAAAUAAAUACACACUGCUGUUUGUUCCUAACUUUGUAAAGGUGUUUUCUAUUACAGACUCACUGGAGAAAAUACAAAAUCAAGGAUAAAAACCGAAGACUCCCACAGUCAGGAGAAUGUCCUGAUCACUAGCUAUUAUAAUAUUGUUAAACAAAUGGAUACACUCCACUCCCAGUCUCUGGCAAAUGAAACUUGCACACACUUACCUUCAAAUUUAACUACACCUAAACAAGUUGUAGACCAUGUGAAAAACUCAAGUCUAAUAAGAAAGUGACAUAAAAAAAGAGAUUUUUAAGUUUAAGAAAAAAUUUGGUUUGUUCCAAAAUUAAACAUUCUGACAAUGUGCUGCAAGGAAAUUUGAUAAUUCUAAAUUUCUUCUAGAAAUAAUAAAAAAAAAAUAGAAAACUUCUGAGGCAAAACAUAUUUUUUGUCUCUUCAAUUUGCCUAAUAAAAGCCAAAGUUUUCCCUUGGUUGCUAAAAAUUGCUACCGACAGUGUAAAAUUUCAAACAUAUUAGUAUUGUAUGUAAACUUUGUUUCACUAGAAAUUUCCUGAGCAGUCCAAACCAUUCAUAAAUAAACAAGACAAUAAUAUGUUUUCAAGUAUAGAUUAAUGGAGCUAAGAGCUUUUUGGUAAUACAGUUUUACCUGUUUCAGCAUUUCUUUCAAACUCUUUUUUGUAAUACUCUUGUAAAUAUAUCAGAUAUGCAUACUUUUAUUAAUAGUAUAAUGCUAUUUAUAAUUAGCAUGAAAAAGUAUAGUGUUGUUCUGUUUGUUUUAUAAAUGGCAACUAAUGUAAUGUAGAAUAGAAGUAUAAUAUUUAGCUUACAGUAUGCAAAAAAUUUUUAAUUUACGGUGUUCACUUGCAACAAGUGCAAUUAGGAAUCAGUCUCCAUUUCCAUUAAAUGUAGCUUCCAUGCAAUACAUCUGUAACAUUUUUGUUGCAAAAUAAAGCAGCUUUAAGAGUUCAGGAGUCUCAACAAAUUACUUGAUUCUGAUUUCUGUGAGAUCAGAGAGAGCUAUGAGUAAUUCUUAUGUUUCCUUAAGAUUUACAUCAUUGUAUAAAAAAAAACAACACAGUAUUUCCUAAACUUGUACUUUUAAAUGUUUU